CUUUCUCUCAAUAUACAGCCCAGGUUGUCCUUGAACACUCAGUCCUUCUUUUCUGCCUCCCAAGUGCUGGGAUUACCAAGUGCAUGCAUCACCUCACCUGACCUAAGGAGAGCUUUGAUUUCACGCACCCAUCAGUCCUAGAUGUCUCACAAGCAGCAACAUUUUCUCCACAUCAUUGUUCUGUGCACCACAUUGAAGGGACAUGAUUAUUUCAAGUGAGAGUGUCUUUCCCUCUGCUUUUUCCUCCAGGUACAACAGACUAGCAAGAGAGUGGACACAGAAAUAUGCUAUAACCAGGUCCUGAGGAGUCUGAAAACAUCUUGGAGGCUCCUGAAAGUUGGAACACCCCUGGAAAGCAGAGGCCUCUUUCUGCACUUGUGCUGACUUCCACCCUCUGCAGCACUGCACACUGCUCUUCUCACCUCACAACAAGAAACAGCCAGUGGCAGAUGUCAGGAUAUAAAGCACAGAACAUCUCAGGAGAGAUGACUUCUUUUUCAGAAGCAAGAGUAGAAGUAUGGAGCCUGGAAAGUUUUGGAUUCUGCUUUUCUGUAUGAGGUUUCUCUCAACCCCACCUCCUCCCACCAGGAGCCUACUUGAAAUCCUAGUAGAAGCCAUUCACAGACUAGAACACAAGGGACUAAAUGUAAAUAAAAAAGAGAUCUCCCAUAACUCUAAAUGGUAAUA